AGUGAGGAACCAGGACUAUUGAUAGCCCAGGAGUGCGAGCGCAUGGGGGUCGACGCAGGACGGGUGGUCCGCGUCUCCAGAGCCCUUCUGCGGGAAGACAUUAUCAUGUCCAUGAAGUGAACAGAAUCUCACUCGAGCUGUCAGCAUCUCUCUCUCUCUGUCAGCAUCUCUCUGGUGCUGUGAGUCCGAGCUCUGGCUGACAUCGCCGGUUUUCCUGCACACUCAUAUUCUCCUCUUCAGUCUUCCACACAUUGCUGGGUGUAAAUCAGGAGCUCCGCCCCUCUGCAGCACACAGCUGCGCUCGACUGAAUGCAGACAGAAGAGCACACAAACACACGGAUGUGAAUCCGAUGUCUGUUUUACAGAGGAGGCCGACUGCGUGUUUGCUUCACUGCAGCCUGGAGUCUGGGUUUGCUAGAUAAAAUGUCUACCCAGCUGGGAAUGCAAAGAUUUACAGAACUGGCCCUGGGACUUUAAUAGAGGACACGUCUCAUCGAGUGAUCGCGUCUAAAUAAGAUAAUAGCAAAUGCAGUUACCGAUGAGGAGAGGUGGUCCCACUUGUGACGUGGGUUGGUCCAGCACUGCAUUGCACCCAGACCACACCCCACAACGGCGCCCACAUCCAAAUCACAGACAGACUAAAGAUGCAUCUCAAAGCAACAGUGAAGGACGGUGAUGAAUUGCAUUCUAUAUUUGAACUCGCGCGUGUUGCAGUGGUCAGCUCUUCUGAUGUAGCCUAUAGCGUAGUUUUGGAGUGGACUGGCACAGAUGAUGAUGCUAAAGUUCAUCGAGUUCAUUUACUUUAUCCUGCCAAAUUCUUGCAUCACUUGCUUUAAUACUUGCCUGUACAAAUCAAUCAAAUGCAAAAUGCAACUAUUGAAGGAAUUAUUUGUAGUGUGGCAUUAAAAUCAGUAAAAUACAUUGAUAGCACUUUACAAUCUUGCAUUUGUUCAAAUUAGUUAAUUCACUAGUUUACUUUCCAGAGUAUCAAUGUGCAUUUUAGCAUUUGCUAAUACAUAUUUAAAAUCAAAAGUCGCAACUUUUAACAUUAGUCAAUGCACAAUGAACUAACGUGAACUCUUGUACUGGCAUUAACAAAGAUAAAGAAAUGCUGAAGAACUCGAAUUGUUCGUUCAUGUUAGCUAAUGCAUUUACUUAUGUUAACAAAAAUAACCAAUGCAUUAAAGUAACAAUGCGCUAUUCAAAUAAUACGACCUGGACGUGGUCAAAGUCAAUAUGUUCUAGUAUGAUUUUCUAAAUCUGAUUUAUUGACGUUAGAUUACAUUUUAAAAUUCAGUUUAAUACACUAGAGGAACGUGAGCAUUUUGCAGAAGGAAUAUGAUGUUAUAAAUGGAUGGAAUACAAAAUUCUAAUCAGUCUCUUUUUAAUUUCUAAAGCAGAUGGUUGCCAUCAUUUUGGAGAAAUGAGACAACGUGGUGACAUCCCCGGCGCUGUUUCGACCCCAUCAGCGGUUCCAGACCCAGAAACGCUGCAUUUCCUUGACAAGAUCGAAGGCCGGAGUGCUGAGCCUUUGACUCCAACAGAGAUGUUUGAGCAGAAAGAUGCUGUUCUGGCCAAAAGCACUCGGCCUCGGUCAUGCCAGCACUUACAGACUGGAUAUGCUCUGCGCCGCUGAUCAAUUCAGUUUAAUGGCAGGACGAGGGAGGGGUUGAGGACACAAGAACUUCAUCUAGAAACUGUGCAUGUCCUUACUUUCAUACAGCUCAGCUUCAGUAUUUGAUUUGCUGUUUAUGUCUGAUACAGAUGAACAUUCUGUCACAACAGAUUCACCUUUGUUGUCUCUCACAAUUUUGUCAGCAAGUAGUC